AUUUCGCGUUAGCAUUCACACUAGCUGAGUAACGAGUAUCUAAUAGUCGGGGUACUUGGCUAUAGCAUUCUCUCUUGUUUUAUAUUCUAUUUCUAAUGUAUCUAUGUACACAUGUACUUAUGUACAAAUCAUUUCAAUUGGUUUCUUUCAAAUUAUUAAUUUAUAAAUAUUUGAUUAUUAGUGUAACCUGAAAAUUAAGUCGACGUUAUCUACACUUUUGUACUCGCAAACGUGAUUACAAACGCAACUCAAAGAGUAAAAGGUAAUCUCUAAAAAUAAGGUUCAAGAUAACGUUUCUGGCGCUAUAUAAAAAAUACAUUCUUUAUAACGAGCUUCGAUAUCGGAGUACUAUAAAUCGACGCAGUUGAGACUAAACUUGUGCCUCGUUUCUUAUCAGUGGUUCGGUCCCUAUCAAGUUCAUCCACAGUAAAGCAGUAUUAUCAAACACUAUUGAAAUCUGUACAUAUUACAAUAAAAGGCGUUUAUCCUUAAAUUAAAUUAUCUUAUAGUACGUGAUGAAAAUACAUUUGUCAAUGAAAAUUCGAACAAGUGCGAAAGUUGUGCUUUGAAUAUUUCUAUUGUACCUUAGUUUUGAUUUUACUUGCCCUUUAAUUCUAAUUUAUUAUUAUGCACUAAUAUUUAGCAGCGUUUUAGUUUGGUCAACAUCAGGAAACAAAAAAGUUGCGAAAGCUUCAUCUCGCUUUUGUAGUUCCUGAGAUCUCAACGUUCAUACGGACGGACGGACGGACGAACAUGUGAUCCUGAUCAAGAAUAUAUAUACUUUUAUUAUUAUUGUUAUACCUUAAAUUUCUGCUCAUGAAAUUAUUUUAUUACCUAUAAUAAAAAUCGAACCGGAAGUGAUCAGCGAAAAAGGGCACGUGCCUUUCAGAAAAGUAAUCUGUCUUUGCAAGAUGCAAAAGCACUUAAGCAAAAUCUGUUUCUCGGAAUGUGGUACUUCUUAUCACAACGGACCAAUUAAAGGAGAUUGUUCUAAAACAGUUGUUGAAGCAUGCCAAAGAAAAUGGAUGAAUAAUGGAAUUUUCCUUAGUUGUGUUGUGAUUUGACAAAGAAAACGCAUAUAUGUAUGUAAGUUUGUACAAAUUUUGUCUUAAUACACCAACUGAUUUACACUAAACAACUAAAAAACUUCUUCAAAAAUCGUUAUUUUUGUUUUGCCCGGGAAUUGAAUUUAGCAAAUGCACUCUUGACGAUCAUUCUAAGUUAUUUCAAAGAGAAUGGCUGUGCUUGGCAAAAAUAUUGUUGAGUAAUUCGGAAGAGGAAUUAAUGUUGUUAAUUAAAGCAGAGUUAAUAAAAGAUAAUAAGUUGGAGCUUGUAGUGGCGACUGAAGCUAUUAUGUUGAAACAUCCUGACAGCUUGAUCAUAAAUGCAGUAUUAGUCAUCGGGAAUAUACUAGACGAGAUGCAAAUCUUUAUCAGCUGAACCAGGAAAGUUUUGAAUAGCUUGCUUAUCGCAAAUGGAGUGAUUUUCAGAUGAUCAUGAUUUCCGCCGAUGGCCUAGACUCCGGCUUGAGUUUCCAUGAAGUCAAGUCGUGAAAAUUUUGCCACCGAGCUAGAAUUGUUUUUUGGAAAAUUAGAACCUGCGGGCCUGAAGAAAAAUAUUUAAAAGUGCGAAAAUAUAAUAAUCAAGUGAGUUUUCCUCGCCGCAAAACAUUUUUUUUGUGUGUUUUCUCAGGCGGAAACUUAAUCUGGAAAAUUCUUAGCUUGCCGCAGCCAUCGUGCAGUAGCGCCACCAACCAGACCCCAAGGUUGUUCAACUGGGGCAGUCAAACGUGGUCAAGAAUAAAAUAACUGGAGUCAAGCCGUCUCGCGGAUCACCCUUUCGUGCCGUCGCGGGGAGCACCUCGUCGAGCUCCCGUGGAUCACCCUUUUCCAUCGCUUAACAGAAGCCUCGAAGCCAUACACAAAAAAUCUGCGAUUUUUAUUUAAUUCAAUUGCUGGAAAUUGCUGCGCCGGGAGAUCGUUCUUUCGCCGAGGAUUCAAAUUGAAUUUGGCCAGUUUCUCUGCUAUGUUCAUUUGUUUUACGAGAGUAAAGACGGAGAACGAAAAUUUUGUGACCUUCAAGAAAACCAAUUAAAACAAACUUCAAAAAUUUCAUAAAA